AGUCCUGAAGACAGCAUUUGAAGCUACUGCUAUUUGAACUUACCUGGAGACACACAGCCAGCAAGAUGAGCAUCUGGAGCAGAGAGGAAUUUUACUUUAACGGAAGAUAGCGGUGAGGGCUUGAACACUAAGGAAUUAAUGAGAGAUCAGGUAACCAUCAACCUAAAAGAGCUCAGAGAUCAAGCUAAAAGAGCUUGGUUAUUUUCAUUCUUUCAAGUCUUAUUUUCAUGAGAUAAUUUCUUCCAAGGGGCAUUAAGAUUUGACUUUCGUAAUCAGGUCAUGAUGUGGCCUGCUUGCUUAUAUGAGAGGUUUUUAGUGCAAAGUGAAUUAAAUUCAUAGAAGAGCAUGCUGCUGCUUGAACUUAUAAAAAGUUUAGCUUUUAAUUUGAACAAGAGUAUUUUACUAGAGACAAUGGUGAUUUUAGACUAUGCUGAUUAUUUACAUAUUUAAGGAAAAGUGAGUAGAUUGUAGUUUUUCCAAAUUUGUGGCCAUUUUGAGAAGACAGAAAUGUAUAUGUAGUCUAGUUUCACAGAGAAUUCCUUUAAGAAAUAGCGAAAGAGAAAUUGAUAUAGAAAAUACAAUUAAGGCCUAAUUAUAUGUGUACUUAAUGGAUAGGUGAAGGCAUUAAGGAAAGACAGAGAGAGAAACAGAGCGAGAUCAUGUGUAUUUCAAGUGUAAACUGGCUAUUGUUUUAGGGAUUUGUGAAAGGAUAUUUGGAAAUCAAUUUUAUCACUUGAAUAUGAGAAAGGAUGCCAACAGAAAUAUAAUACUUCACAAAAUUAUUUUUGCACAUGGUGAUAAUCAUCAGUAAGAUUUACUUUUGAUCAAAUAAAGCAGCAGAACAGUGUAUCUUACAAAUAUGCUAUUCUCUUCAUGACAUGAUAAAUUCUGUGAAUUUUCGCAGAGUAUCUCUCUCAAAAAACUGUGAGGUUUUAAGAUUAGAUAAGGUAAGUAAGAUAAUACAAGGAAGAAAAGAAAGAAUUGAGAACUAAUAAAAAUUAAAUCAUCAGUUUUCACACUCUAAUAUUGUUGGCCUUCAAAUGGAAUGCCAUGAAUAAUUAAACACAUGAACAAAAAUGCUAUUGUGAUCAUUUCUCAAUAUUCACAAAAGAUAGUUACAACAAUCAAAAUUUAAUCUAUGCUUAAUACUAGAAUAUUAUUAGUACUUAGAUUUUGAAUAUGAUUUUUAACAUGUUGAAUGUUUUAAGAAAGGGCUUUAUCCCAAAUGAUGACAAAACUAUUCAUGACAGAAUAAUCUGAGAUUACGGGAAGUUUCCUUAUUUGUUCUUGUCUGUUAACUGUUACUCAAUUAAUUUGUUAACCUGAGGCUGAACAUUAACUCCAUAGCUACUUGAUAAUAAUGUUUAAAAAUAUGUAAUAACAGAAGUUGAACAUAUGUUUACUAGACACUAGGAACUAUUUUAAACCUAGGCAUUACUUUAAUUCUCACACUAUUCAUACAACAUACAUGUCUAUUGUAGUAUAAUCAAUAAUUUCAUAAAUAAGAAACAUAAAGCUUAAGAAUUUAACACCCUUGAGGCAAUUAAGAUGGUAAGUCAUUGAGCUAGAGUUCGAACCCAGGUCCCCCAAAAUUUUAACCAUCAGGUUAUCCUGCCGUCCAUAGAAAGGACCACAAAUACCCUACUCAGUAACUACAGGGGUUCCAGUAACUGGGUUACAGAACUUCAGAGAACCACUUACUAACUGAGCUAGUCAUUUAUUCUCCCUAAACUUCAUGCUAAUUAUCUUUAAUGCAGCAUUCAUGUUAGUACUUACAACCUCUUAGGUCUGAAGUAAUAAUUUAAUAAUGUAAUGCACAGAGGUAGUUUAAUAGUUUAAUUUCUAUUAUGCAUGACCCUAAGUAAGUGAGCAUUAAAAUAGCUUUUAUUAUUGUUCUUAGAUUCAUAUAUCUAUCUAUGUUUAUAAAACUGGGUACCUUAGAUUUGUGUGGCAUAGCAGAGCUUUCAAAAUGUUUUCACACAUAAAAUAUUCAUACAUAUGUUAUUUAACAUUUUACGUCAUGUUUAAUUAAGAUAGGCUUAACAUCCACGAUUUUAAGGCUUAAGAAUGACAUAUAAAAUUCAGGUGCUGCAACUCAACUAGCUUUUGGGAAAAAAAACACAGAAUACACUUUUUUUUAGGUCUGAGAUUCAGUUCUGAAGAGUUUGCUGCUUUACUUACUGAAUUUACUCACUUGAAAUAUGGCUUUCUUUCUAUGAUUCUGUGGAAUUGGCAACCUCUGUUUUUAUUCUAACAACGUAAUACAUUUCUAAAUUAAUAUUAUAUGGAUUUUUUCCCCCAUCAAAGAUUGCCCCCAUUCAGAAUAAAUACACAUGUCCCAUACUUUGCCUACAAUUUUACUUAUCCCAUUUGAGGAAUGUAUCUGUUUUAAGAAAAACAAGAAACAUAACCUGAUUGUGUUUCGUGGGGUCAGAAUCCCGUUCUUUGAGGAUUCUCUGAUCACAGUAGGUUCUCGACGAAUUUUGCUGAAAUUGUUGAACAUAAUUUGAGUAGCUACAAGCUUGGGAGCUAACUAUAUAAAAUUAUAUCCAUGCCGUCAAGUGACUUGCAAUUUUAUUGGUUAGAAUUCUCUUUGAAACAGCUUUUUUUCCAAGACUUUGAUAAAUGUAAUGAAUCUUUUUAGAAAAUAUAGAGAAAUGUAGAUUAUUGUAACCAAUGCCAAGAUACUCAUCUUGAUUUUCUUA
rnacentral:lncRNA from 1 species